rnacentral:rRNA from 1 species
GGGUGGUAAUGCCGGAUGCUCCAGUUGAUCGCAUGGUCUUCUGGGAAAGCCUUUGCGGCAUGGGAUGGGGUCGCGUCCUAUCAGCUUGAUGGCGGGGUAACGGCCCACCAUGGCUUCGACGGGUAGCCGGCCUGAGAGGGCGACCGGCCACAUUGGGACUGAGAUACGGCCCAGACUCCUACGGGAGGCAGCAGUGGGGAAUAUUGCACAAUGGGCGCAAGCCUGAUGCAGCGACGCCGCGUGAGGGAUGGAGGCCUUCGGGUUGUAAACCUCUUUUGUUAGGGAGCAAGGCAUUUUGUGUUGAGUGUACCUUUCGAAUAAGCACCGGCUAACUACGUGCCAGCAGCCGCGGUAAUACGUAGGGUGCAAGCGUUAUCCGGAAUUAUUGGGCGUAAAGGGCUCGUAGGCGGUUCGUCGCGUCCGGUGUGAAAGUCCAUCGCUUAACGGUGGAUCCGCGCCGGGUACGGGCGGGCUUGAGUGCGGUAGGGGAGACUGGAAUUCCCGGUGUAACGGUGGAAUGUGUAGAUAUCGGAAAAAAAACA